CUACGGGAGGCUGCAGUGGGGAAUAUUGGACAAUGGGGGAAACCCUGAUCCAGCAAUGCCGCGUGUGUGAAGAAGGCCUGCGGGUUGUAAAGCACUUUCGGUUGGGAGGACUGCUUCUAGCACUAAUAUUGUUGGAAGUUGACGUUACCUUCAGAAGAAGCACCGGCUAACUCCGUGCCAGCAGCCGCGGUAAUACGAAGGGUGCAAGCGUUAAUCGGAAUUACUGGGCGUAAAGCGCGCGUAGGCGGCUAGAUCAGUCGGGUGUGAAAGCCCCGGGCUUAACCUGGGAACUGCAUCCGAUACUGUCUAGCUUGAGUACAGGAGAGGAGAGUGGAAUUCCACAUGUAGCGGUGAGAUGCGUAGAUAUGUGGAGGAACACCAAUGGCGAAGGCAGCUCUCUGGCCUGAUACUGACGCUGAGGUGCGAAAGCGUGGGGAGCAAACAGGAUUAGAUACCCUAGUAGUC
rnacentral:rRNA from 1 species